GACGAACGCUGGCGGCGUGCUUAACACAUGCAAGUCGAACGGAAAGGCCCUGCUUUUGUGGGGUUCUCGAGUGGCGAACGCGUGAGUAACACGUGUGUAACCUGCCCUUGUCUUUCGGAUAACUUCAGGAAACUGGGGCUAAUACCGGAUAUGAUCUCCUGCUCCAUGGUGGGGGUUGGAAAGUUUCGGCGGUUGUGGAUGGACUCGCGGCUUAUCAGCUUGUUGGUUGGGUAGUUGCUUACCAAGGCUUUGACGGGUAGCCGGCCUGGGAGGGUUACCGGCCACAUGAGGACUGAGAUAGGGCCCAGACUGCAACGGGAGGCAGCAGGGGGGAGUAUGACACAGUGGGCGGGAGCCUGAUACGACAACGCCGCGUGCGGAAUGACGGCCUUCGGGUUAUAAACCGCUGUCGCCUGAGACGAAGCGUGAGUGACGGUAAUGAGUAAAGAAGCACCGGCUAACUACGUG
rnacentral:rRNA from 1 species